UCACUUCCGGCAGCAUACACACUAAAACUGGAACAAUACAGUAAGAUUAGCAUGGUUCUUGGGCAAGGAUGACAUAUAAAUCCGUGAAGCACUCCAUAUUUUU
ensembl:snRNA U6 U6 spliceosomal RNA